rnacentral:rRNA from 1 species
CCUACGGGGGGCAGCAGUGAGGAAUAUUGGUCAAUGGGCGCAAGCCUGAACCAGCCAAGUCGCGUGAGGGAAGACGGCCCUACGGGUUGUAAACCUCUUUUGCCGGGGAGCAAGCCUGAGCACGUGUGCCCAGGCGGAGAGUACCCGGAGAAAAAGCAUCGGCUAACUCCGUGCCAGCAGCCGCGGUGAUACGUAGGGGGCAAGCGUUAUCCGGAUUUACGGGGUGUAAAGGGAGCGCAGGCGGCGUGGCAAGUCAGAUGUGAAAACCCGGGGCCCAACCCCGGGAGUGCAUUU